UGAGAACUUAGAAUGAGCUGGGCCCAAUCAGGAAUUCCAGAAAACUGGAUUCAGAAAUGCAGGAGGUGGAAGCUGCACAAAGCAGAAUUCCUGCACUCCCCUGUAAA
rnacentral:lncRNA from 12 species